GAAAAAUAUGAGACGGGGAAUCAUCGUGUGAUGUGUGUGCUGCCUUUGGCUGAGUGUGUGGAGUCCUGCUCAGGUGUUGGGUACAGUGUGUUUGAUCAUGGUGGCUUGAGGGGAACCUGCUGUUCAGAGCUGUGACUGUGGCUGCACUCAGAGAAGCUGCCCUUGGCUGCUGGUAGCGCUGGGCCUUCUCUCCUCCUCAUCAUCCAGAGCAGCCAGUGUCCGGGAGGCAGAAGGUACCGGGGCAGCUACUGGAGGACUGUGCGGGCCUGCCUGGGCUGCCCCCUCCGCCGUGGGGCCCUGUUGCUGCUAUCCAGCUAUUUCUACUACUCCCUCCCAAAUGCGGUCAGCGUGCCCUUCACUUGGAUGCUUGCCCUCCUGGGCCUCUCGCAGGCACUGAACAUCCUCCUGGGCCUCAAGGGACUGGCCCCAGCUGAGAUCUCUGCAGUCUGUGAAAAAGGGAAUUUCAACGUGGCCCAUGGGCUGGCAUGGUCAUAUUACAUCGGAUAUCUGCGGCUGAUCCUGCCAGGGAUCCAGGCCCGGAUUCGAACUUACAAUCAGCAUUACAACAACCUGCUAUGGGGUGCAGUGAGCCAGCGGCUGUAUAUUCUCCUCCCAUUGGACUGUGGGGUGCCUGAUAACCUGAGUAUGGCUGAUCCCAACAUUCGCUUCCUGGAUAAACUGCCCCAGCAGACCGCUGACCGUGCUGGCAUCAAGGAUCGGGUUUACAGCAACAGCAUCUAUGAACUUCUGGAGAACGGGCAGCGGGCAGGCACCUGUGUCCUGGAGUACGCCACCCCCUUGCAGACUUUGUUUGCCAUGUCACAAU
rnacentral:sRNA from 1 species